rnacentral:rRNA from 1 species
GACGAACGCUGGCGGCGUGCUUAACACAUGCAAGUCGAACGGAAAGGCCCUGCUUUUGUGGGGUGCUCGAGUGGCGAACGGGUGAGUAACACGUGAGUAACCUGCCCUUGACUUUGGGAUAACUUCAGGAAACUGGGGCUAAUACCGGAUAGGAGCUCCUGCUGCAUGGUGGGGGUUGGAACGUUUCGGCGGUUGGGGAUGGACUCGCGGCUUAUCAGCUUGUUGGUGGGGUAGUGGCUUACCAAGGCUUUGACGGGUAGCCGGCCUGAGAGGGUGACCGGCCACAUUGGGACUGAGAUAGGGCCCAGACUCCUACGGGAGGCAGCAGUGGGGAAUAUUGCACAAUGGGCGGAAGCCUGAUGCAGCAACGCCGCGUGCGGGAUGACGGCCUUCGGGUUGUAAACCGCUUUCGCCUGUGACGAAGCGUGAGUGACGGUAAUUGGUAAAGAAGCACCGGCUAACUACGUG